rnacentral:rRNA from 1 species
CCUACGGGAGGCAGCAGUGAGGAAUAUUGGUCAAUGGACGAGAGUCUGAACCAGCCAAGUAGCGUGAAGGAUGACUGCCCUAUGGGUUGUAAACUUCUUUUAUAUGGGAAUAAAACGUUCCACGUGUGGGAUUUUGUAUGUACCAUAUGAAUAAGGAUCGGCUAACUCCGUGCCAGCAGCCGCGGUAAUACGGAGUAACCGAGCGUUAUCCGGAUUUAUUGGGGUUAAAGGGUGCGUAGGUGGAUUGUUAAGUCAGUUGUGAAAGUUUGCGGCUCAACCGUAAAAUUGCAGUUGAAACUGGCAGUCUUGAGUACAGUAGAGGUGGGCGGAAUUCGUGGUGUAGCGGUGAAAUGCUUAGAUAUCACGAAGAACUCCGAUUGCGAAGGCAGUUCACUGGACUGCAACUGACACUGAGGCGCGAAAGUGUGGGUAUCAAACAGGAUUAGAUACCCGGGUAGUC